CGCCCGUCGCUCCUACCGAUUGGGUGUGCUGGUGAAGCGUUGGGAUUGGCGGCAAGCCUGGCAACGGGAUUGCCGCCGAGAACUUCGUUAAACCCUCCCACCUAGAGGAAGGAGAAGUCGUAACAAGGCUUCC
rnacentral:rRNA from 1 species